rnacentral:rRNA from 1 species
UGAUCCUGGCUCAGAUGAACGCUGCGCAGCUACACAUGCAGUCGACGUACAGAUAGCUGCUAUCGCUGACGAGUGGCGGACGGGUGAGUAAUACUUAGGGAUCUGCCUCUGUGUGGGGGAUAACUAUUGGAAACGAUAGCUAAUACCGCAUAAUGUCUACGGACCAAAGCGGGCUUCGGCUCGUGCGCAGAGAGGAACAUAAGCGAGAUUAGCUAGUUGGUGAGGUAAAGGCUCACCAAGGCGACGAUCUCUAGCUGUUCUGAGAGGAAGAUCAGCCACACUGGAACUGAGACACGGUCCAGACUCCUACGGGAGGCAGCAGUGGGGAAUAUUGCACAAUGGGGGAAACCCUGAUGCAGCCAUGCCGCGUGUGUGAAGAAGGCCUUCGGGUUGUAAAGCACUUUCAGUUGUGAGGAAAGUUUAGUAGUUAAUACCUGCUAGAUGUGACGUUAGCAACAGAAGAAGCACCGGCUAACUCCGUGCCAGCAGCCGCGGUAAUACGGAGGGUGCGAGCGUUAAUCGGAAUUACUGGGCGUAAAGCGCACGCAGGCGGUCCGUUAAGCUAGAUGUGAAAGCCCCGCGCUCAACGUGGGAGGGUCAUUUAGAACUGGCAGACUAGAGUCUUGGAGAGGGGAGUGGAAUUCCAGGUGUAGCGGUGAAAUGCGUAGAGAUCUGGAGGAACAUCAAUGGCGAAGGCAACUCCCUGGCCAAAGACUGACGCUCAUGUGCGAAAGUGUGGGUAGCGAACAGGAUUAGAUACCCUGGUAGU